UACAGGGGGUGCAAACGUUGCUCGGAAUUAUUGGGCGUAAAGCGCACGUAGGUGGUUCGUUAAGUCUGAUGUGAAAGCCCUGGGCUCAACCUGGGAAUGGCAUUGGAAACUGGCGACCUAGAGUGCGGUAGAGGGUAGUGGAAUUCCCGGUGUAGCAGUGAAAUGCGUAGAGAUCGGGAGGAACAUCCGUGGCGAAGGCGACUACCUGGACCAGCACUGACACUGAGGCACGAAAGCGUGGGGAGCAAACAGG
rnacentral:rRNA from 1 species